AAUGAACGUUGGCGGCGUGGAUUAGGCAUGCAAGUCGAGCGCGAACCCCGCAAGGGGUGAAAGCGGCGAAAGGGAGAGUAACGCGUGGGUAUCUGCCCUCGGGACUGGGAUAGCUGCGGGAAACUGCAGGUAAUACCAGAUGACGUCCCCGGACCAAAGGUGUGAUUCCGCCUGAGGAUGAGCCCGCGUCCUAUUAGCUAGUUGGUGGGGUAAUGGCCUACCAAGGCAAUGAUGGGUACUGGGUGUGAGAGCACGACCCAGCUCACUGAGACUGAGACACUGCCCAGACACCUACGGGUGGCUGCAGUCGAGAAUCUUCGGCAAUGGGCGAAAGCCUGACCGAGCGACGCCGCGUGUGGGAUGAAGGCCUUCGGGUUGUAAACCGCUGUCAGAGGGGAGGAAUGGGCGGAGGGUAAUCUCUUCGUUUUGACCUAUCCUCAGAGGAAGUACGGGCUAAGUUCGUGCCAGCCGCCGCCGUAA
rnacentral:rRNA from 1 species